rnacentral:rRNA from 1 species
GACGAACGCUGGCGGCGUGCCUAAUACAUGCCAGUUGAGCGCUGAAGGUUGGUACUUGUACCAACUGGAUGAGCAGCGAACGGGUGAGUAACGCGUGGGGAAUCUGCCUUUGAGCGGGGGACAACAUUUGGAAACGAAUGCUAAUACCGCAUAAAAACUUUAAACACAAGUUUUAAGUUUGAAAGAUGCAAUUGCAUCACUCAAAGAUGAUCCCGCGUUGUAUUAGCUAGUUGGUGAGGUAAAGGCUCACCAAGGCGAUGAUACAUAACCGACCUGAGAGGGUGAUCGGCCCAAUUGGGACUGGGACACGGCCCAAACUCCUACGGGAGGCAGCAGUAGGGAAUCUUCGGCAAUGGACGAAAGUCUGACCGAGCAACGCCGCGUGAGUGAAGAAGGGUUUCGGAUCGUAAAACUCUGUUGGUAGAGAAGAACGUUGGUGAGAGUGGAAAGCUCAUCAAGUGACGGUAACUACCCAGAAAGGGACGGCUAACUACGUG